UACAGAGGUCUCAAGCGUUGUUCGGAUUCAUUGGGCGUAAAGGGCGCGUAGGUGGUUCUGUAUGUCUACCGUGAAAGCGUACGGCUCAACCGUAUUUUGUCGGUAGAAACUGCAGGACUUGAGGCUGGGAGGGGCUGGUGGAAUUCCCUGUGUAGCGGUGAAAUGCGUAGAGAUGGGGGGAGAACACUCGUGGCGAAGGCGGCCAGCUAGACCAGUUCUGACACUGAGGCGCGACAGCGUGGGGAGCAAACAGGG
rnacentral:rRNA from 1 species